GGAAAACCACCUGCCUCCAUCUCCUGGAGGAACACAUGGAACUCUACUUCAACCACAGCCAGCACUAUAGAGACCAUACAGAACCAAGACGGCUCCUACUCUGUGGAGAGACGGUUGGUCCUGCCUGACAGUGGCUCUGAUCUGUGCUGUCAUACACCCCUCCAGGGCAGAGAAGCAUAUUGAGACAAACCUGGCAUUUUGUGGGAAGAAGCAGUCUGGUAAUUUGGGGAUGGACAUCUCUCAUAUCCUUAAGAUUGCAGGCAUCUGCACAAUUCCCAUCCUCCUGACCAUGGCGUAUGUAGUGAGAGGAGGAUGCAAGGUGAAUUACAGUAAUACACACACAUCCAGACACACACCUACGGUGUAUUG
rnacentral:lncRNA from 1 species